ensembl:snRNA U1 U1 spliceosomal RNA
AUACUAACCUUGCAGGGUAGAUACAAUGGCUGUAGAGGCUGUUUUCCUGGGGCGAAACUUACCCGUAGCACUUAGAUUUGCCAAAAUUUACCCAAAUAUGGGAAAUUUGAUUACAUAAUUUGUGGUAGUCAUGGACUGUGUUUGUACUCUCGCCUGA